rnacentral:tRNA from 2 species
UGCCCUCUCGGCUAAUGGUAGGCCACAAGAUUCUGGAUCUUGCUAUCAUGGUUCGAAUCCAUGGGGGGCAGCCA